GACGAACGCUGGCGGCGUGCUUAACACAUGCAAGUCGAACGGAAAGGCCCUGCUUUUGUGGGGUGCUCGAGUGACGAACGGGUGAGUAACACGUGAGUAACCUGCCCUUGACUUUGGGAUAACUUCAGGAAACUGGGGUUAAUACCGGAUAGGAGCUCCUGCUGCAUGGUGGGGGUUGGAAAGUUUCGGCGGUUGGGGAUGGACUCGCGGCUUAUCAGCUUGUUGGUGGGGUAGUGGCUUACCAAGGCUUUGACGGGUAGCCGGCCUGAGAGGGUGACCGGCCACAUUGGGACUGAGAUACGGCCCAGACUCCUACGGGAGGCAGCAGUGGGGAAUAUUGCACAAUGGGCGGAAGCCUGAUGCAGCAACGCCGCGUGCGGGAUGACGGCCUUCGGGUUGUAAACCGCUUUCGCCUGUGACGAAGCGUGAGUGACGGUAAUGGGUAAAGAAGCACCGGCUAACUACGUG
rnacentral:rRNA from 1 species